rnacentral:rRNA from 1 species
GGUUGUAAAGCACUUUCAGUCGUGAGGAAGGUAGUGUAGUUAAUAGCUGCAUUAUUUGACGUUAGCGACAGAAGAAGCACCGGCUAACUCCGUGCCAGCAGCCGCGGUAAUACGGAGGGUGCGAGCGUUAAUCGGAAUUACUGGGCGUAAAGCGCAUGCAGGUGGUUUGUUAAGUCAGAUGUGAAAGCCCGGGGCUCAACCUCGGAAUAGCAUUUGAAACUGGCAGACUAGAGUACUGUAGAGGGGGGUAGAAUUUCAGGUGUAGCGGUGAAAUGCGUAGAGAUCUGAAGGAAUACCGGUGGCGAAGGCGGCCCCCUGGACAGAUACUGACACUCAGAUGCGAAAGCGUGGGGAGCAAACAGGAUUAGAUACCCUGGUAGUCCACGCCGUAAACGAUGUCUACUUGGAGGUUGUGGCCUUGAGCCGUGGCUUUCGGAGCUAACGCGUUAAGUAGACCGCCUGGGGAGUACGGUCGCAAGAUUAAAACUCAAAUGAAUUGACGGGGGCCCGCACAAGCGGUGGAGCAUGUGGUUUAAUUCGAUGCAACGCGAAGAACCUUACCUACUCUUGACAUCCAGAGAACUUU